CGCGGUAAUUUGACCGUGCGAAGGUAGCAUAAUCAAUAGUCUUUUAAUUGGAGGCUUGAAUGAAUGGUUGGACGAGGGAUAAGCUGUCUCUUUUGGCGUAUGUUGAAUUUGACUUUUAAGUGAAAAGGCUUAAAUUAAUUAGAGGGACGAUAAGACCCUAUAAAACUUAAUACAGAUUUGGCUUGGUUUGUGAUUUGUGUGAAAAGUAGUCUUGUUUAGUUUGUAUUUCGUUGGGGCGACGAAGAUAUAAAAUGUAACUGUCUUUAAAAUUUAAUAGUGUUAGUUAGUAUUUGAUCCUUCUUUGUGGAUUAAAAGAAUAAGUUACUUUAGGGAUAACAGCGUAAUUUUUUUUGAGAGUUCUUAUCGACAAAAGUAGUUGCGACCUCGAUGUUGAAUUAAAGUUUCAGUUAGGUGUAGCCGUUUAACUGGUAAGUCUGUUCGACUUUUAAAACUUU
rnacentral:rRNA from 1 species